AACGAACGCUGGCGGCGUGCCUAACACAUGCAAGUCGAGCGAGAAAGCCCGCAAGGGUGAGUAAAGCGGCGCACGGGUGCGUAACACGUGGGUAAUCUGCCCUAGAGUCCGGAAUAACUCGCCGAAAGGCGUGCUAAUGCCGGAUGAGACCACGGGAGCCUCGGCUCUCGCGGGAAAAGGUGGCCUCUGUAUACAAGCUAUCGCUCUGGGAUGAGCCCGCGGCCCAUCAGCUCGUUGGCGGGGUAACGGCCCACCAAGGCUACGACGGGUAGCUGGUCUGAGAGGACGAUCAGCCACACUGGAACUGAGGCACGGUCCAGACUCCUACGGGAGGCAGCAGUGGGGAAUCUUGCGCAAUGGGCGAAAGCCUGACGCAGCAACGCCGCGUGUGUGAUGAAGGUCUUCGGAUCGUAAAGCACUGUCGCGAGGGACGAAUAAGGGGCGGGUUAACAUCCCGUUCCGAUGACGGUACCUCGAGAGGAAGCACCGGCUAACUCUGUGCCAGCAGCCGCGGUAAUACAGAGGGUG
rnacentral:rRNA from 1 species